UCAGGUUUUUGGACUUUACGAUGGCGUUUCGGAAGCAUUAAGCUCUCAGCAGAAGCCACACUCUGAAUUCCGAUCUUUUCCUGGGCUGGUGAUGGAUGCGCAGCACAGUGCCCUCCUGCAGUACUGAGCGGUGGCAGGGAGCAGCAGUCCCAGCCAGCUGUGCCAUCGCGAGGGGAAGUGGCCGGCAUGGAUCUUUUCUCCCCUAUAUCCGAGGUCUGAGUCCUUUGUCAGGACACACAGUGUGAUUUCUUGCCUGGCAUUCCGUUCCUUGCUUGUCCAUUUUCAAGAGCAGAACAUUUUCACGUUGAUGGAAGCCCGAUGUCUUUCUUCUACGGUAUGUGCUCUGCAUCCAAAGCAGCCUUCGCCCAUCCCACAUUUUAGAUAAUUUUUUCUUUUAAAAACUUCACUAAGCGCUCAUGUUUGGAUCUGCAAUCUAUUUUGGAUGAAUUCUUGUGUAUGACGUGCAGUAGGAAAAAAGGCUCAUGUCUUUCCAUACGGAUAGCCAGUUUCAUUCAGACACAGGUGGUGGCCAGACCUGGCACACGGAUGCAGCUGACCCUGGAAGCUGAAGGGCAGUGAAACCCAUCUGAUUAAGAUGCUCAACUUUUCUGAAGAAAAAGCUGACACCUGCCUAAGGUCACACCAUCAUGAGUGGCUGAGUUGGGCUGUGAUGAGCCACCCGGCUGGAGAGCUUGUGCCCUGGUUACACGAUUGCCAGUGAGAUGCCUAUGAACUCGCAUGUAGAGGUGGGUACCCAGACAGCUCAGAGUGAGCUGCCUGCGGGCCCAGCAUGCAGAGGUGUGUACUCAGUGCUGUGUGAGAUGCCUGUGGGCCCAGG
rnacentral:lncRNA from 1 species